rnacentral:rRNA from 1 species
CCUACGGGGGGCAGCAAUUAGGAAUCUUGCGCAAUGGGCGAAAGCCUGACGCAGCGACGCCGCGUGACUGAUGAAGUCUUUCGGGAUGUAAAGGUCUUUUGCAGGGGACGAAGGAAGUGACGGUACCCUGCGAAUAAGCUCCGGCUAACUACGUGCCAGCAGCCGCGGUAAUACGUAGGGAGCGAGCGUUGUCCGAAUUUACUGGGCGUAAAGCGCGCGUAGGCGGGUUAUUAAGUUGGGGGUGAAAUGCCGAGGCUUAACCUCGGAACUGCCUCCAAAACUGGUAGCCUUGAGGUAUGGAGAGGGAAGUGGAAUUCCAGGUGUAGCGGUGAAAUGCGUAGAUAUCUGGAGGAACACCCGUGGCGAAGGCGGCUUCCUGGCCAUAUCCUGACGCUGAGGUGCGAAAGCUAGGGGAGCGAACG